GCAGCAGGCGCGAAACCUUUACACUGCACGCACGUGCGAUAAGGGGACUCCGAGUGCGAGGGCAUAUCGUCCUCGCUUUCGUGUACCGUAGGGUGGUACACCAACAAGGGCUGGGCAAGACCGGUGCCAGCCGCCGCGGUAAUACCGGCAGCCCGAGUGAUGGCCGAUCUUAUUGGGCCUAAAGCGUCCGUAGCUGGCUGCGCAAGUCCGUCGGGAAAUCCACUCGCCCAACGAGUGGGCGUCCGACGGAAACUGCACAGCUUGGGACCGGAAGGCUCGAAGGGUACGUUCGGGGUAGGAGUGAAAUCCUAUAAUCCCGCACGGACCACCGAUGGCGAAAGCACUUCGAGAAAACGGAUCCGACAGUGAGGGACGAAAGCCAGGGUCUCCAACCGGAUUAGAUACCCGGGUAGUCCUGGCCGUAAACAAUGUUCGCUAGGUAUGACACAGACUACGCGUCUCUGUUGUGCCGUAGGGAAGCCGAGAAGCGAA
rnacentral:rRNA from 1 species